rnacentral:Y_RNA from 1 species
AGCUGGUCCUAGGGCAGUGAUGUUUACAACUAAUUGAUCACAACUAAUGUAAGCAGUACGUCCCACUGCUUCAGUUCACUAGCCUUAA